AUUGAACGCUGGCGGCAUGCUUUACACAUGCAAGUCGAACGGCAGCGCGGGCUUCGGCCUGGCGGCGAGUGGCGAACGGGUGAGUAAUACAUCGGAACGUGCCCAGUAGUGGGGGAUAGCUCGGCGAAAGCCGGAUUAAUACCGCAUACGACCUGAGGGUGAAAGCGGGGGAUCUUCGGACCUCGCGCUAUUGGAGCGGCCGAUGGCAGAUUAGCUAGUUGGUGGAGUAAAGGCCUACCAAGGCGACGAUCUGUAGCUGGUCUGAGAGGACGACCAGCCACACUGGGACUGAGACACGGCCCAGACUCCUACGGGAGGCAGCAGUGGGGAAUUUUGGACAAUGGGCGAAAGCCUGAUCCAGCAAUGCCGCGUGUGUGAUGAAGGCCUUCGGGUUGUAAAGCACUUUUGGCGGGAACGAAAAGGACUGUGCCAAUACCACGGUUCGAUGACGGUACCCGCAGAAUAAGCACCGGCUAACUACGUG
rnacentral:rRNA from 1 species